rnacentral:rRNA from 1 species
CAGUAGCCGCGGGAAAACGUAGGUGGCAAGCGUUGUCCGGAAUUAUUGGGCGUAAAGCGCGCGCAGGUGGUUUAAUAAGUCUGAUGUGAAAGCCCACGGCUCAACCGUGGAGGGUCAUUGGAAACUGUUAAACUUGAGUGCAGGAGAGAAAAGUGGAAUUCCUAGUGUAGCGGUGAAAUGCGUAGAGAUUAGGAGGAACACCAGUGGCGAAGGCGGCUUUUUGGCCUGUAACUGACACUGAGGCGCGAAAGCGUGGGGAGCAAACAGGAUUAGAUACCCGAGUAGUCCCUGUCUCUUAUAC